GGCCAUGCUGUAUCACAUACUGUACAGGACUGUGACUCUGAGCAGUGGCAUAGGUGCAAGUAACUUGUUCUGAAUUUGGACUUUCGACCUACCUGGAAAAACAAAAUAUUGUGUUCGGGGUUAGAAGACUUGCAUUCAGUUAGUAGAAGGGUCCCUGCUUCGUCUGGCAUCUAGUGCCACAUAGUUCUAGCAGCUGCUCUGGAGGACACCCUUAGACUGUUUGUUGGCCUCCUUUGCCCUGUGGAUGGUCAGUUCACACAGUGGAACUGGGCCAGUGGUUUCCAAGAAAAUGUUCCAUCCCAGAAACAAAAAACAUCUGAGCGCAUCUACAUGAUCUGUGAGAUGAAGGUUAAGAGGAACCUACAUGCCCACGUCAUGCACACAUCUCCAGAUGGAAACUCUGUCAACUACCUGGAAUAAGUCAGAGCUACAGUCUAGCAUGGUACUGGAAGCCCGCAAAUUCCUUGUCCUCUGUGACCUCAGCCUUCACAUAGACAAUCUCAGUGACAGAGUAGUACUUGAUUUCUUGGCCUACAUGGAAACCAUGAGAUU